UUACAAUUUAUUUAGUCUCUAACUUGCUGACACGGGAGGGUAUGGGGAGGAUCAAAUCAACUCCUAUAACUCACUCAACAUUAUGCAAUACUGAAAGUUAACCUCCUAGAAAACCCCUACCUUUAAUUGAAUCUACAAUCCUAAAAGGAAUGCAAAAACAAAGACUAGAAGAAAUAAAACAAGAAAAGGAAAAAAGUCACAGACUUACCAAAGAGUUGAUCCCUGCUCCUUGGCUCAACAAGACUUCUAAAGACUCCUGCUUCCUGAAGAACUUGAAGAAGCUAGAAUUAGCAAAAAAGUUAAUUGAAGAAAAGCUUAAACUUUCAAGAAUUUCUCUUAAAUUGAUUGUAAUUAGUGUGUUUACAACCUAGGGGCAAAGGCCUAUUUAUAGCCUUCCCCGAGGUACUUCUAGGUGAUUACAAUCUCUUUGGUCUGGAUCUUUGGGCCGAGCCAUUCCUUAGCAGUAAGGCCCACUACCCUUUGGGUUUCUAGUACCUUCUGGUGUCGUUUCUUCCAAGACCAGGAUUUUUGUUUGGUGGAUUCAGCCUUGCUAUUUGACACUUGAUCGGGAAUAGAGUAGCCUGGAGUAUUGUUACUUCGCAAUUACUUUCUUUCGUUUCCUGAAAACUCAUCAGUAUUAGCCUGCUUCUUGCCUCCACUGAUUUAGGUUUGUCUUCAGCAUCUCCUCACUUGCAGGCAAGAGUUUAGUUUAUAUUACUUUAUUUAU
rnacentral:lncRNA from 1 species